rnacentral:rRNA from 1 species
UACGGGGGGGGCAAGCGUUGUUCGGAAUUACUGGGCGUAAAGGGUUUGUAGGUGGCCAACUAAGUCAGACGUGAAAUCCCUCAGCUUAACUGGGGAACUGCGUCUGAGACUGGAUGGCUUGAGUGCAGGAGAGGAACGCGGAAUUCCAGGUGUAGCGGUGAAAUGCGUAGAUAUCUGGAGGAACACCGGUGGCGAAGGCGGCGUUCUGGACUGCAACUGACACUGAAAAACGAAAGCCAGGGGGGCAAACGGG